GAGCGAAAUCACACACUCUGAAUUUGAAUAUGAAGGCUAAUAAAUGAGACAUGAAAUCAAAACUCCUCGUAUAUCAAAUGCGAACUGCACAGCAGACAGGACUUUAAAUAGAUCUGUGGAGACACGCUUCAAAACGGGCAAUCUGGUUACGAAAGCUCAAGAGCGCCAGUGACUUUGGGGAGCACACAACGGGGCGGGGCCGGCGCAUGGCGGAUGGACCCUGCUCCCCCUGGGAUGGUUGGGGAUACGUGGCCUGUCUUCUUCCUCCGUGUUCAGACCUAUGGCAGGAUCUUUGCUUCUGGCUCCCACUUGACCCAUUUAGAGGCCUCUGACUGCCUUCCCCAGGAUUUGUCAAACGAUUUACUUACUGUGUGAGCAUUUGCUUGCACAAAUGAAUGCACACCAUGUGUUUGCCCGAUGCCCAGGAAGGUCAGAAGAGGAUGUCAGGUAAACAUGGAACAGUUGCAUGCCGUCAUGUGGCCACAUCCUCUGGAAGAAUGGCGAGCACUGCUUGUCUGCCACAAAAGAGUCCUGCCAGGGCUUGAUCAGGACCGGUUUCAUAUCUGCAGAUGAGUUUCCAAAGGGGUGACCAGCUGAGAUUGCCUUCUGAUCCACACACAGCCCAGAUUGGAUUGAACAUACAGCAGUCUCCUUGCUUUGGCGUCUCCCAUGCUGACAGUACAGACAUGUGCCUCCACAUCCUGCCCAUUCCCAGUGUUUUAAGGACGUCUUCCAGAGUCUACAGCAAGAUGGUUGCAGGCUUACAGAUUGGCUUUGUUUGGUAAAAAAAACAAAACAAAACAAAAACUUCCUGGUUUGCUGAGGUUCUCUAUCAAGGUUUGGUUAUUUGGUCAAGGGCUUCCUCAGCCUCUCCUAGGACAGUCAUUCUUGCCAGCCAGUUUUUGUGCGGAGCAGAGGAAGCACUGAGUGAGAGAUGCAUAGGCAGACAUGCACACAGAAUAAUAAAACAUUGUUUUAAAAAGAGAAGCUACCCAAGAAGCUUCCCUUCCCUCCCCUUCCCUCCCCUCCCCUCCC